AAUUACUCACUAAGGGGGAUUGGCCUAUUUGAACUUCCUGGGAUUGGUAACAUCAGUCUUUCUAUGAACCAAAUGUGACAAAAUGAACCCAGUACCUAGAAAGCUAAUACAUAUCAAAAAUAUGAUUUAUAGUUUUAAGUUCAAUCAGACACAAAGAAUUGGCCAUUUAAAUAUUAGCUGAAGUAAACCAACAACUAAGUCUUAAUUUUUGCAUGCAGAAGUUAUCACACAUUCAUUGCCUAUACUAGUUAAGGAAAAAAAAAGACACCUCAAUUCUUUAGAGUAUAUUAAUUUUUAUAAAUCACAAGAAUAUAUUAAGCACUGCUUCAGUAGAAUUAAGUUUUGUUAAGAAAGAGGCAUUUAAAUUUGCUGUUUAUAUAUUAAAAUGUACAUCUCAAGUUAUUUAUCCCAGGCAGUGACAUAUUUCUAUUCAGCUAUCUAAUACAAAAAUCAUUACAGCCCAAGAAAAUUUGCAUCUCUUUUUAAAUGGAAUCAAUUUACUCAACUAGCUAGCUAAGUCAACUACAAAAUAAAAAUCUCCAACUGUUUUCUGAAAUUAUUAAAUAUGUUGGUACUUUAUAAAUUAGAUAGCCACUUGUGCCUGUAUACAAAUUUUUAAAAAUUUUAUAUUUAUCAUUCUCAAGAGGGUGUAUUUUUACUUUUUAAGUCCUUAAAAAUUAUAUAUUAGAAAUUCUCAUUAAAUAAGAUAAAUAACUUAAGGCAUUAAAAUGACUUGUAAAAUAUGUAAAUUGUAAAGUAUGAGCUGGCAUUUAAGAUAUUUUCAUAAAUGAUUCUCUUCCAAUUCAAAAAUCAAUGCAAGAAAUUAAAAUAUAGACAUAUACACAUAAAAAUAAAACAAACCAGGUAAAAGCUCAUAUUUUUUAAGAAUGUAAACUUUUACUUCUGUUUAAAAAAAGUUACAAAGUCAAUAGAAAAGUAGUAAAAAAAAAAUGCUGGGGAGGGUAGGGGACAGGGUUUUGGUCCCCUACUAAUUUAACAGAAGCAAGUUUUGAUUGUAACUUAUUUCUAAAAUCAUUUUGAACGUGUCUUACUUUUCAAGUGUGCACAUUCCCAUCACCAGUACAGGAUAUAUGAUUUUUGUUUCCAGCAAUGCAGAGAGAGAACUGGAGGCCAAUAAUUAAAAAGAAGAGAUUUCUACCCACCACCAAGAAUUCAGUAUUAGGGCCUCAGUGGCUAAGAUUAUUAAUAGUGAGAAAUAGUUAUUCCAGAGUGACUCUGUUCACUUUUUAUUUUUACUAAUACAAAAUUAUAUUAAAUUUUAAAGAGUCAGUUAUUUUCUCAGACUUAAAUUACUUCUCAUUUCUUAAUAAUAUGCCUUAGAAUCAUACUGACAUCAAGAGAACAUUAUUUAUCCUUGUGUGUACCUUAAACCACUGGCACUAGCAAAGAACACUGGUUUCAUACCCCAAAAUGUGUAGCUAAUUUUUAAAGACAAAGUGUAGCUGAAUCAGAUGUCCAAUAUCCACUGUGGCUAGCUGCUAUAAGCUCUUAACUGGCACCCAAUGAUUUAUUCUUAAAAAUAUGGCUCAUUGCCACACAUACUUACUAAACUUUCAGAACUGAAAAUAUUUAUGUAAAACAGAGUGUACAAUAUGUAUAAUUUUUUCUUAAAUCAAGAGAUUUGACAAUAACUUCAGCUCAGCUAUUAUCUGAAAACAUACCUGUGAGAUUAAGGAAAUAAGUGUAUUCCACACCAGAAGUGGAACUGUCAACACACAGGAUCACUCUAUAUCCUGGUGCCUAUAAUGCUUUCACUGAGCGAUUUCAUUUUACACAAGUUCCUGCUGAGUGGCUUAUUAUCAGCAAAAAUUCUUGCAAAUACUUUCAAGGAAAUAACACUUCAAGUACUCUCAGUAUAGACAGAUGCAAGACUACUAGUUUUAUUGGUGGACAGGCAUGGGAGAAACUAGAUGUAUCCUAAAAAACAAUUCUGUAUUGCUUAUUUUUCAAGAAACCUUGCUAAACUAUAGUCCAUCUCAGGUACUACUGAAAUGCAGCAAAACCACUACAUAGGAGGUUAUGCAUGGAGCACAGCAGGUGCUCAGUAACUGUUUUAUUUUUAACUUGUAAAAAGUUAAAGUUCAAGAUAUUUAUCUCACGUACACAAACUCAACUACAAACUAUUAAAGAGAAAUAUGCCACAUAAGGAGUUCCUUAUUUGGUUUGCUUUAAAACAAUUUGAUCAAAAGUUUUCUUUAAUGGAGGUCUUCUCACAACUAAUUUUAAGUAUCUAGAAAUUAACAACAAAAGCCAGAAAUUAAUCACUCAACAUUUUUAAGUUUGUAAAACUAAUUUUCCCAUUAUACUCAAAUUGAGACCUCCAGAAAGCAAAAAAGCUGAAUCAGGGGUAGCAGAUAUGCUAAGAAUUCUGCUUCUGUCAUCCACUUUACUGAAUACUCCCCAAUUCUGAUUUUAGCAGACUGGAAAACACACAUCUGAUUACCAUGGUGUCAAUGUUUUGGUUUCAACAGUCUUUGCCAACACUGCAUCUACUGCCCAGUGAGGCCAGAAAAAUCUGGCAAUUACCAAACUACCCAGAUAAAUGUGAACUAGGGGUAGCAGUAUUUAUAUACUAGGAACAUAGGGACCACAUAAAGCAUACUAGCAGAAGAUAAAAAUUAUGCUGGCCUUUCAGAUGUAGACGAAAAUAUUGUAAAAAAAUAUAUAGAAUUCAUUAUAUUCUAGCCUAUAUGAUGGGCUUUUUAAAUUACAAAGUAAUUUAUUUCAUAAGAUACACAGUCUGCAAUCCUGUCUUAAAAAGUACUAGAGUAAAACUCCUAUUUCCCUUUCACAGAAUAUGUAAGUUUUAUUUUAAAAUUACUAAUGUUAGCCUGUAAAUUUCAAGUCAAAAGUCUGACCUAACUUCUAGCAUCUAAUCAAACAAUACAGUUCCCCAGAGAAUCAGGGAUCAGCACACUACAGCCCGCAAGCCAAAUGCAGCCAUAGCCUAUUUCUUGUACUGGCCACAGCUAAGAAUUAUUUUUGCAUUUUUAAAGGGUUAUAAGAAAAAAAAUUGCAACAGAUACCACUUGUGGCCUCCAAAGCUUAAAAUAACUUAUCUAGUCCUUCUAAAUGAAUGUCUUAUUCCUAUUAACUUGACUUAUAAUUGUUUGGUGUUUGUGUUUUAGGUUCAUGCUCAAGACUAAAACUUAGGGCAUGAAACAAACAGCUGCUGAUAAAAUGCAACAAGAGUAUACGUAAUUAUUUUGUUCAAACAGCAAAUAAAUAAUAGCAGAUGAAUAACAAAAGACUCUGCAGAAAACAGGGAUUCAAAUUUUCACAGAAACUGGAAAUAUAAAUUUUUAAAAUUUUUAUAUAUUUUAUAACCUCCACAAUUACUUGGAAUAGCUCUUUAAAGUCUUUCAAAAGCAUGCAAAUAUCAAAUUAAUUUCAGCAGAGGAAGAUUAAUAAAUUUUUGAAAGGCAAAUCAACAAGUCCAUGAAAUAAAAAGAAGUCAAAGAUCAAAAACUAAAAUAUCUAAGUUAUAGUUUAGCAACAUAAAUUAUAUAAAGAUAUGAUAGGUUAUAAAUAUACGAAAAGCUGAAUGUUAGAGGAAAUAAAGUACUUACAAGUAUGCCUUUAUAUUACUCUGUAUUUUAAUUAGACAAUCUCUAUAUAAAUAUCUACAAAGCAAAUUUAAAUUAAUCCACUUCCAUAUCAUAUAUACUACAUUCACCUUCCCUACCUCCCCCCAUAAGAAAACUUAUAAAAAAAACCCUACAAAUCUACUUUAAAAGGAAUCCAGGCAAUUUUCGGAUUAAUUAUGAAUGCUGUGGUCUAGCAAAGCAUUAACAUCAAACACUAAAAACAAACUAGUACUUCUUACGUAAUAACCAUACAUGACACACAGCUAAAAGGCUCUUAUCAUUGAGAAGCAGAGGGCAACAUUGUUGAAAUAACAAGACAACUCCCUUUUACCGUGUUCUGUGUUGUCGCCUACCCCAAGUGUGGUCCACAUACCAAAUAUCAGCAUCACCUGAGAGCCUGUUAGAAAUGCAGGAUCACAGGUCCCAACCUGAACCCACGGAUUAGAAUCUGGAUUUGAAUAAGAAGCCCGGUCAAUUCAUAUGCAUUAUUAAAGUAUGAGCAGCCCUGCUCUAUUUGCAAACCUUUAUAACAUUAGGCAAUAAUCUCAGAUUUUUUUUUUGUAAAGUGUGAACUAAAAUAUUAACUAAUGUUGUCUAAAAAGUAUCUUUUAAAAGUUACAAAUAAUGCAAGUUAAUAAAAUGUUAAUGGUAUGAUUUAGUAGUAGGCAGUAUGUUUACAAACGUUUUCAAUAACAUUCCUUCAAUUUUACAUUUGCAAAAUAUGUUUGAGUACUUCCUCUAUAAGGGAAAUCAAGAAGUCUGGUUAGAGAAGAUCAGUAAAAAGAAGACAGAAACCAAACUCUUCCCAGUCCUUGGGACCCGGGAAUAGAUUUGAAUGAAAUCUUAACUCCUCUGAAAUAAAGUGAAGUGCUGUAUACCAACUUCUUUCUUGAACCUAUAAGUCAGGUUUUAGAAUGAGAUAUUUAUACUAUAAUCAAACCAUACAAAUUCAGCUUUUAAUCCUCCCAAAAAACUUAAAAUAGAAUUGUUUUUUCAGUGUGUAUAAAUUUGUAGUACAGUACAUAAGCUUUUCCACUAGGGAAACAGACAUACACACUAGCUGAAUAAUGGUUUACUUGAAAAUAUUUACACCUUUACAAAAUGGAGUGAAAGUUUUCCAAUACCUGUUUUUAUAAGUUUAACCUGUUUUAUAUGUAAUGAGUUGUUCAUCAAUUUUCUUAACUCCUAGCAUUACAGAAGUUAAAUUCCACAAAACUGUUUUUCUGGGUUCACAGAUACAUGUAACCAGCAAAACCCAAAAUAAACGUUCAUCUUGUAUGGAACAUAAAUUGAUCAAUUUAUUAGUAUAUGAAAAUUAUAUUCCAUCAUAUCCUUAUGUAUUCUAGAAUUUUUUUUCUGUAUGUUAAACUCUCAUAUCACACAAAUAGGUUACAUAAUGUACCUGAAAUUAUUUUAUUUCACUUAGAGAAAAAGUUACUUUUAAAAAUGAAGAUAAUUUUUGAAAAAAUUCAGGGUCAAUCUGGCAUUAAUUUUUCUCAGAGCAACAGAGCAAAUGAAUAACUGAGAAUUUCCAUUUACUUUCUAAAUAUCCUCUUGCUUUAAUAAAAACUUUCUCCAAAAAUAAAUAUAUCCUUAAAAAAAGUCUACAGAAGUAAAAUUCUUCAAAGACAACAAAAUUUAAUCUAGAAACACAUGACCUAAUACUCUUCAAAACACUUCUAAAAUAGGAAACUCAGUAUUUGUUCCCCUGUUCUUUGACUUUAUAAAUAUAACAGUUAAAAAAAAUUCCCACAUUUCUUGAAUACUGAAUGUAAGAUGUGCUGAGUCUAAGAGAAAUGUUCAAUGUGGAAAGAAACCAAAGCCAAAAGUAAUACCAUGGACACUGGAUUAAGAAAUGCUGCCCUUUCAUACCCUUAAAAGAACAUUUACCAAGUAAACAUUUUUUUUUUUCCUAUUUUAGCAUAACGGAAAGAAAAAAACUAAAUUAUAUUAAAUAAUAUAACAGUUAUGCUAUCAGGCAUGUAUAUUUAUCAAUGCUCUUGCCCUCCUGCCCUCAAAAUGAUGUUACUAGAAUAUACGUUAGCAAAUUAUGAUUAAUGAUUAAAGUUAUCUGAUAUAGUUUGCAGAGAAUAGAUAUUGAGUACUAUAUUGAUUACUAUAUUACAUAUUGAUUACAAUUUCACUUACCUGUCUUGUCUUUGCUGAUGUUUCAAUAAAAGGAAUUCCAUAACU